UUCCGGUUGAUCCUGCCGGACCUGACUGCUAUCGGAUUGAUACUAAGCCAUGCGAGUCUUUGUAGUAAUACAAGGCAGACGGCUCAGUAACACGUAGUCAAUCUACCCUAUGGACGGGGAUAAUCUCGGGAAACUGAGAAUAAUACCCGACAGAUCAUUAUGCCUGGAAUGGUUUAUGGUUUAAAUGAUUUUUCGCCGUAGGAUGGGACUGCGGUCUAUCAGCUUGUUGGUGAGGUAAUGGCCCACCAAGGCUAUUACAGAUACGGGCUCUGAGAGGAGAAGCCCGGAGAUGGGUACUGAGACACGGACCCAGGUCCUAUGGGGCGCAGCAGGCGAGAAAACUUUGCAAUGUGCGAAAGCACGACAAGGUUAAUCCGAGUGUUUUCUGAUAAAGAAAUCUUUUGUUAGUUCUAAAACCACUAUCGAAUAAGGGGUGGGCAAGUUCUGGUGUCAGCCGCCGCGGUAAAACCAGCACCUCAAGUGGUCAGGAUGAUUAUUGGGCCUAAAGCAUCCGUAGCCGGCUAUGUUAGUUUUCGGUUAAAUCCAUGUGCUUAACACAUGGGCUGUCGAAAAUACUGCAUAGCUAGGGAGUGGGAGAGGUAGACGGUACUCGGGAGGAAGUGGUAAAAUGCUUUGAUCUCUCGAUGACCACCAGUGGCGAAGGCGGUCUACCAGAACACGUCCGACGGUGAGGGAUGAAAGCUGGGGGAGCAAACCGGAUUAGAUACCCGGGUAGUCCCAGCUGUAAACUAUGCAAACUCAGUGAUGCAUUGGCUUGUGGCCAGUGCAGUGCCGCAGAGAAGUCGUUAAGUUUGCCGCCUGGGAAGUACGUACGCAAGUAUGAAACUUAAAGGAAUUGGCGGGGGAGCACCACAAGGGGUGAAGCCUGCGGUUCAAUUGGAGUCAACGCCGGGA
rnacentral:rRNA from 1 species